UAGGGAAUCUUCCACAAUGGGCGCAAGCCUGAUGGAGCAACGCCGCGUGAGUGAUGAAGGCCUUCGGGUUGUAAAACUCUGUCUUCUGUGACGAACAAGCCUGUGAGUGGAAAGCUCAGGCCCUGACGGUAACAGAGGAGGAAGCCACGGCUAACUACGUGCCAGCAGCCGCGGUAAUACGUAGGUGGCAAGCGUUGUCCGGAAUCACUGGGCGUAAAGCGCGCGCAGGCGGCGAUCUACGUCUGGGGUGAAAGCCCGGAGCUCAACUCCGGGACUGCCUUGGAUACGGGAUCGCUUGAGGAUUGGAGAGGCAAGGGGAAUUCCACGUGUAGCGGUGAAAUGCGUAGAGAUGUGGAGGAACACCUGUGGCGAAGGCGCCUUGCUGGCCAAUUUCUGACGCUGAGGCGCGAAAGCGUGGGGAGCAAACA
rnacentral:rRNA from 1 species